GCCUAGGAAUCUGCCUGGUAGUGGGGGACAACGUUUCGAAAGGAACGCUAAUACCGCAUACGUCCUACGGGAGAAAGCAGGGGACCUUCGGGCCUUGCGCUAUCAGAUGAGCCUAGGUCGGAUUAGCUAGUUGGUGAGGUAAUGGCUCACCAAGGCGACGAUCCGUAACUGGUCUGAGAGGAUGAUCAGUCACACUGGAACUGAUACACGGUCCAGACUCCUACGGGAGGCAGCAGUGGGGAAUAUUGGACAAUGGGCGAAAGCCUGAUCCAGCCAUGCCGCGUGUGUGAAGAAGGUCUUCGGAUUGUAAAGCACUUUAAGUUGGGAGGAAGGGCAGUAACUUAAUACGUUGCCGUCUUGACGUUACCGACAGAAUAAGCACCGGCUAACUCUGUGCCAGCAGCCGCGGUAAUACAGAGGGUGCAAGCGUUAAUCGGAAUUACUGGGCGUAAAGCGCGCGUAGGUGGUUUGUUAAGUUGGAUGUGAAAGCCCCGGGCUCAACCUGGGAACUGCAUUCAAAACUGACAAGCUAGAGUAUGGUAGAGGGUGGUGGAAUUUCCUGUGUAGCGGUGAAAUGCGUAGAUAUAGGAAGGAACACCAGUGGCGAAGGCGACCACCUGGACUGAUACUGACACUGAGGUGCGAAAGCGUGGG
rnacentral:rRNA from 1 species